AACGUAGGACGCAAGCGUUAUCCGGAGUUACUGGGCGUAAAGCGCGGGCAGGCGGUCGGUCAAGUCUGAUGUGAAAUCUCCUCGCUCAACGGGGAGCAGCCAUUGGAAACUGGGCGACUGGAGUCUGACAGAGGUAGGCGGAAUUCCGGGUGGAGUGGUGAAAUGCGUAGAGAUCCGGAGGAACACCAGAGGCGAAGGCGGCCUACUGGGUCAGUACUGACGCUGAGCCGCGAAAGCCAGGGGAGCGAACGGG
rnacentral:rRNA from 1 species